GUCCCCGGGCGACCGGCCCGCUGGGAUCCGUUCGUGACGUCGCUGUCGUCCUCAACCUUGGCGUGCCGAGCUCCAACGUCUCCAUCCAUGGCUCUUCUCCAUCAAGCACGCGCCGGAAGACCUCGUGACACCAUCCUAGGGCCCCUUUCUUAAGGAAUUCGUGCCCCAAGCCCUUGUGCAUCUGUAGGGAAGAAUGGAGAUUGAGGACACUAACACAUACUGGGAACGUGCCCUCAUAGGCAUGCUUUGUUUCUUGCUUAGUUCCAGAUCCAUUUAUGUGAUAGGAUUGGGGAUCUUGGAGCACUACACUGGCCGGCAUGGGGGUUGAAGUGCGGACGACGGCGGAGCACAUGCGGGUCAGCGGCAGCCGGUAGGGGCAAGGGAAGUGCAGUUUGCACAAACCGCUGGAGAGAUUAUGGUUGAAGUGAAUAUGCAAAUGCAGGUUUAUGGAAGCAUCUGAUAGUUUUGCUCGCAGCUCUGAAAAUAUACCUCAUUUAGUCAUUUAUCUCAUUUGUAAGGUUUGCGCAAAUCGUUGGCGAGGUCAUGGUCGAAGCGAAGCUUUGAAAUUUUAUUUAUAGCCUGAAGGUGUUACUGCAAAAGUGUGGCUUGAGUACCAAAGUGCAUUCUUCGGAGAGAAGUUGCAGAAGCAUAUCUACUGCGGGGUUUUUCUUGAAGAUGCCAUGAUUCUUCAAUGUGGGCACUCAUUGGGUGAUGUCGUGCUGAACAAAGUCACUGAAAUGGUAUUCUUUCAAAUUUGUAUUCAGCC